rnacentral:rRNA from 1 species
AUUGAACGCUGGCGGCAUGCCUUACACAUGCAAGUCGAACGGUAACAGGUCUUCGGAUGCUGACGAGUGGCGCACGGGUGAGUAAUACAUCGGAACGUGCCCGAUCGUGGGGGAUAACGAGGCGAAAGCUUUGCUAAUACCGCAUACGAUCUACGGAUGAAAGCGGGGGAUCUUCGGACCUCGCGCGGACGGAGCGGCCGAUGGCAGAUUAGGUAGUUGGUGGGAUAAAAGCUUACCAAGCCGACGAUCUGUAGCUGGUCUGAGAGGAUGAUCAGCCACACUGGGACUGAGACACGGCCCAGACUCCUACGGGAGGCAGCAGUGGGGAAUUUUGGACAAUGGGCGAAAGCCUGAUCCAGCCAUGCCGCGUGCAGGAUGAAGGCCUUCGGGUUGUAAACUGCUUUUGUACGGAACGAAAAGCCUCUUUCUAAUAAAGAGAGGUCAUGACGGUACCGUAAGAAUAAGCACCGGCUAACUACGUG